rnacentral:rRNA from 1 species
UACGUAGGGUGCGAGCGUUUGUCCGGAAUUAUUGGGCGUAAAGAGCUCGUAGGCGGUCUGUCGCGUCGAUCGUGAAAACUUGGGGCUUAACCCUGAGCUUGCGGUCGAUACGGGCAUGACUGGAGUUCGGCAGGGGAGACUGGAAUUCCUGGUGUAGCGGUGAAAUGCGCAGAUAUCAGGAGGAACACCGGUGGCGAAGGCGGAUCUCUGGGCCUUACCUGACGCUCAGGCGCGAAAGCUAGGGGAGCGAACUGG